UCUUGACCUCGGAUCAGGUAGGGAUACCCACU
rnacentral:rRNA from 1 species